UUUUGUAUUAGAUUUUCCCGUGGACGGCCGUUUUAAAGACCGGCGGCGCCCUUUGCCGCAGCUGUGGCCCACUACUCUGCCCUGCCUCAGCCCCCAGACCACCCCGGAUGUGCUCUACGCGGAGUGUUCAUCAACAAAGCAGACCAUCGCUGAAACUGGCCUGGAAACUGGGACACGCACUGGCUACCGGCAAUACCUUCGUCCUAAAGUCAGUCAAUGUGGUGCCUGGUUUCGGUGGAGACGGCGCUGCCCUGCCCAAUCACCCAGAUUGCCUCUUUUAGCUUCCUGGGCGAACUCGCAGAAGCCUCGCAACAUUGCCGUGCAUGCCAUGAAGGCGAGGCGUCUGCUCUUCUCGACAGAUGUCGGGAGCCAUCAGGUCAUCAUUCGGGCCCGAGUCGAAGGCAAUGAGCGUAUGGAGCUGGAAGGAGUCACGGCCUGGACCAACAGUCCGAAAUACUAAUCCCAUUGCAAGCUAAUCGAUGGAAAGAACAAGUGGGAUUGGUGUAAUGGCUGGACGAAAACUGUCAUCGGAGAGCGUCGUUCCGCGGACCUGCAGCGUCUGUCGCAGAUCACCGACAUCCUGCGGCGAAAGUCCUGCGCAAUCACACGUGUCUUCACGGUCGCCCCAAUUGUUUCCACAACUGCUUAGCCAGCGGGGUGUGACACGCAGUCCUCACGACGUCUGCUCUGCUCGUGCCCCAAGCAUCUGAUGCUAUCCGGGAGUAGUGACAUGAACAACGACUGUAUAUCCGUCUUCUGUCGCUGCGAUGGUACCACCUGUGACAACUAUGACAAUGUCCACGAUGAGGCCGACUACUGCAAGCGGCCAAGAGACUUUCAGUGUCCCAUCAACAAAGUGAGUGGAAAGACACGAUAACUGCACAAACCAUAUCGUGCUGCAUGAAUCCCUGCAAACAAAAUACCACCCAAGUAGCAGAGGAACUAUAUGAUAAUUCGAAACGACGGUGUCCUUUUACUUAUGGGAACAUUUUUUGGAAUCCAUAAGCAUCUGUUAAUGAAACAAAACGGAAUGAAAUGCCAAUGUGUCCUUUCACAUAUGGGAAUUUAUAAGAGUUUCGAAGUACAAGUGCAGAAGAUUCAAAAUCUUUGGCACGAUUCGACAGAUCCGCUGCCCCUCGGCCAGUACCGAAUGGGGUUCAUAUAUCCUUCGCUGGCAAAAUAAAAAUCAAAU